UCCCGUGUGCCUAUGUAUGGGGUUUUCAGAGGCACUAGCAUCUUUUAUUUCUUAUAGCCAAUGCCCUUGGAAAUCCCAAACGAAGGCCAUCGAAA
rnacentral:pre_miRNA from 1 species